CAUUUACUCCCUCCGUUCGGAAUUACUUCUCGCAAAAAUAGAUGUAUCUAGACAUAUUUUAGUUCUAGAUACAUCCAUUUCCAAGACAAGUAAUUCCGAACGGAGGGAGUACUUA
rfam:Triticum urartu cultivar G1812 contig688466, whole genome shotgun sequence.